CGGCGAGUGAAGCGGCAAAAGCUCAAAUUUGAAAUCCCCCGGGAAUUGUAAUUUGAAGAGAUUUGGGUCCGGCCGGCAGGGGUUAAGUCCACUGGAAAGUGGCGCCACAGAGGGUGACAGCCCCGUGAACCCCUUUAACGCCCUCAUCCCAGAUCUCCAAGAGUCGAGUUGUUUGGGAAUGCAGCUCUAAGUGGGUGGUAAAUUCCAUCUAAAGCUAAAUACCGGCGAGAGACCGAUAGCGAACAAGUACAGUGAUGGAAAGAUGAAAAGCACUUUGAAAAGAGAGUGAAAAAGUACGUGAAAUUGUUGAAAGGGAAGGGCUUGCAAGCAGACACUUAACUGGGCCAGCAUCGGGGCGGCGGGGAGCAAAACCACCGGGGAAUGUACCUUUCGAGGAUUAUAACCCCGGUCCUUACUCCCAUACCACCCCGAGGCCUGCAAUCUAAGGAUGCUGGCGUAAUGGUUGCAAGUCGCCCGUCUG
rnacentral:rRNA from 1 species